AGGCCUGGGCCAGAAUACUUUACAUAACAAAGAUCUCCAGGUAAAGUUAUAGCAAUUGCCAAAAGCCCGUUUCAGUGCAUCAUCCAGCAAAGCUCAACCAAGUCUGGAACUCAGGAAAGCCUACAGAGUUGCCCCUGCAUGGCCCCAUGGGAGUCUGACAAACAAUCAGAAUAUAAGCUUCAAUUCAAAUCCCAACAAAGGGCAUUCUCCAUUUAAA